rnacentral:rRNA from 1 species
AGCCGGCCUGAGAGGGCGGUCGGUCACAUUGGGACUGACAUACGGCCCAGACUCCUACGGGAGGCAGCAGUGGGGAAUUUUGCCCAAUGGGCGAAAGCCUGAUGCAGCGACGCCGCGUGAGGGAUGACGGCUUUCGGGUUGUAAACCUCUUUUAUCCACCACGAAGGCCAGGUAUUCGCCUGGUUGACGGUAGUGGUUGAAUAAGCGCCGGCUAACUACGUGCCAGCAGCCGCGGUAAGACGUAGGGCGCGAGCGUUGUCCGGAUUUAUUGGGCGUAAAGGGCUCGUAGGCGGUUGAUUGCGUCCGCCGUGAAAGGCCUCGGCUUAACCGGGGUUUUGCGGUGGAUACGGGUCGACUUGAGGCAAUUAGGGGAGAUCGGAAUUCUACGUGUAGCGGUGAAAUGCGCAGAUAUGUGGAGGAACACCGGUGGCGAAGGCGGAUCUCCCCCCAUUGUUCUGACGCUGAGGAGCGAAAGCGUGGGGAGCGAACAGGAUUAGAUACCCUGGUAGUCCAUGCUGUAAACGGUGGGCGCUAGGUGUGGGGUCACGUUGGUUGAUUCUGUGCCGUAGCUAACGCAUUAAGCGCCCCGCCUGGGGAGUACGGCCGCAAGGCUAAAACUCAAAGGAAUUGACGGGGGCCCGCACAAGCGGCGGAGCAUGCGGAUUAAUUCGAUGCAACGCGAAGAACCUUACCUAGGUUUGACAUCACCCGGAAACCCCUAGAGAUAGGGGCC